rnacentral:rRNA from 1 species
GAUGAACGCUGGCGGCGUGCCUAAUACAUGCAAGUCGAGCGAACGGACGAGAAGCUUGCUUCCCUGAUGUUAGCGGCGGACGGGUGAGUAACACGUGGAUAACCUACCUAUAAGACUGGGAUAACUUCGGGAAACCGUAGCUAAUACCGGAUCAUAUUUUGAACCGCAUGGUUCAAAAGUGAAAGACGGUCUUGCUGUCACUUAUAGAUGGAUCCGCGCUGCAUUAGCUUGUUGGUAAGGUAACGGCUUACCAAGGCAACGAUGCAUAGCCGACCUGAGAGGGUGAUCGGCCACACUGGAACUGAGACACGGUCCAGACUCCUACGGGAGGCAGCAGUAGGGAAUCUUCCGCAAUGGGCGAGAGCCUGACGGAGCAACGCCGCGUGAGUGAUGAAGGUCUUCGGAUCGUAAAACUCUGUUAUUAGGGAAGAACAUAUGUGUAAGUAACUGUGCACAUCUUGACGGUACCUAAUCAGAAAGCCACGGCUAACUACGUG